rnacentral:lncRNA from 1 species
UGGAAGCUGAAGAUGAGGAUGAGAAAUAUCUACAAGAAUGUCUCAGUAAAUCUGAUAGUCUGCAGAAACAAAUCUCCCAAAAGGAGAAACAGCUGGUGCAACUGGAAACUGACUUGAAGAUUGAGAAGGAAUGGAGGCAGACUUUGCAGGAAGAUCUUCAAAAGGAGAAAGAUGCCUUAUCUCAUCUUAGAAAUGAGACUCAACAAAUCAUUAGUCUUAAAAAAGAGUUCCUUAACCUCCAGGAUGAAAAUCAGCAGUUGAAAAAAAUAUAUCAUGAACAAGAGCAAGCUCUUCAAGAACUCGGCAACAAGCUUAGCGAAUCAAAACUUAAAAUUGAAGACAUAAAAGAAGCCAACAAAGCAUUGCAGGGACUGGUUUGGCUGAAAGACAAAGAAGCAACACAUUGUAAACUUUGUGAAAAGGAAUUCUCACUCUCUAAGAGAAAGCACCACUGUAGAAAUUGUGGGGAAAUUUUCUGUAAUGCCUGCUCUGACAACGAACUACCUUUGCCUUCUUCACCAAAACCAACAUGGCAGCUACUGCAUCUUCAUGUGUCACAAACUCUACAUCUGCUUCUCCUGUGGCUCUGCCAUCAGCUCCAAUAUCAAUAUGAACUCGUAUUGGAUUUAGUGGUGAGAAGAACUAAAUAAAAGGAAACACUUAUUUACUUUUCUAUUGAGAAUAUU